rnacentral:tRNA from 1 species
CAAAGAGUAGUUUAUAAAAAUAUUAGUUUUGGGGACUAAAGUUGAAGAAAUUUCUUUCUCUUUGA